rnacentral:misc_RNA from 1 species
GAUGAAGAACGUAGUGAAAUGCGAUAAGUAAUGUGAAUUGCAGAAUCCAGUGAAUCAUCGAAUCUUUGAACGCACAUUGCGCCCGCCAGUAUUCUGGCGGGCAUGCCUGUUCGAGCGUCAUUACAACCCUCAGGCCCCCGGGCCUGGCGUUGGGGAUCGGCGGAGCCCCCCGUGGGCACACGCCGUCCCCCAAAUACAGUGGCGGUCCCGCCGCAGCUUCCAUCGCGUAGUAGCUAACACCUCGCGACUGGAGAGCGGCGCGGCCACGCCGUAAAACACCCAACUCUUCUGAAGUUGACCUCGAAUCAGGUAGGAAUACCCGCUGAACUUAAGCAUAUCAAUAAGCGGAGGA